rnacentral:rRNA from 1 species
CCUACGGGAGGUAGCAGUGGGGAAUAUUGCACAAUGGGGGAAACCCUGAUGCAGCGACGCCGCGUGAGUGAAGAAGUAUUUCGGUACGUAAAGCUCUAUCAGCAGGGAAGAAAAUGACGGUACCUGACUAAGAAGCCCCGGCUAACUACGUUCCAGCAGCCGCGGUACUACGUAGGGGGCAAGCGUUAUCCGGAUUUACUGGGUGUAAAGGGAGCGUAGGCGGCAGCGCAAGUCUGGAGUGAAAUCCCAUGGCUUAACCAUGGAACUGCAUUGGAAACUGGGCAGCUAGAGUGCAGGAGAGGUAAGCGGAAUGCCUAGUGUAGCGGUGAAAUGCGUAGAUAUUAGGAGGAACACCAGUGGCGAAGGCGGCUUACUGGACUGUAACUGACGUUGAGGCUCGAAAGCGUGGGGAGCAAACAGGAUUAGAUACCCCAGUAGUC